rnacentral:rRNA from 1 species
AACGGACGAGAAGCUUGCUUCUCUGAUGUUAGCGGCGGACGGGUGAGUAACACGUGGAUAACCUACCUAUAAGACUGGGAUAACUUCGGGAAACCGGAGCUAAUACCGGAUAAUAUUUUGAACCGCAUGGUUCAAAAGUGAAAGACGGUCUUGCUGUCACUUAUAGAUGGAUCCGCGCUGCAUUAGCUAGUUGGUAAGGUAACGGCUUACCAAGGCAACGAUGCAUAGCCGACCUGAGAGGGUGAUCGGCCACACUGGAACUGAGACACGGUCCAGACUCCUACGGGAGGCAGCAGUAGGGAAUCUUCCGCAAUGGGCGAAAGCCUGACGGAGCAACGCCGCGUGAGUGAUGAAGGUCUUCGGAUCGUAAAACUCUGUUAUUAGGGAAGAACAUAUGUGUAAGUAACUGUGCACAUCUUGACGGUACCUAAUCAGAAAGCCACGGCUAACUACGUGCCAGCAGCCGCGGUAAUACGUAGGUGGCAAGCGUUAUCCGGAAUUAUUGGGCGUAAAGCGCGCGUAGGCGGUUUUUUAAGUCUGAUGUGAAAGCCCACGGCUCAACCGUGGAGGGUCAUUGGAAACUGGAAAACUUGAGUGCAGAAGAGGAAAGUGGAAUUCCAUGUGUAGCGGUGAAAUGCGCAGAGAUAUGGAGGAACACCAGUGGCGAAGGCGACUUUCUGGUCUGUAACUGACGCUGAUGUGCGAAAGCGUGGGGAUCAAACAGGAUUAGAUACCCUGGUAGUCCACGCCGUAAACGA